AUAGAAGGCAUUGUUUUAUGUUAGGAUUUUCAAAAUAAAGCUUAUUUUGUUAGUUAUUGGCUGGUUUAUCUUACUUUAUCUCAGCUAAAUAAUUUAUAAAACUAUUUGUCACUGAUACCAAGAAACCUACUCAAUAGACUAUUUUACCAGGAAUCACGGAUUUAAAAAUUAUUUUGGAGCCCUAUGGGGGUUAAUAUCGAUGCAGUCCUUUCAGGGCUGCUAAAACCAUGGGAAAUUGUUGCGUUAACUGUUGGCCGACAUGUGGUAAAACAGGGCCUCUUUGUAAUUUUAGCAUGCUAUCCAAAUCAAAUACCGAUUUUACCUUUCUCAUUGAGGAGGAGUCUGCUUGCGGAGCCACAGAAACUAGGAGUUUUUUUACGAGACUUCUUGAGAGACAUAAGAAAAAACAAAAGAAGCAAAACACUAGCAUGGUUGAAAAUAUGUUAAAUCCUAAUCAUUCAUAUAGUAGGUUAUCAGAAAGACAACGAGCUUUAUCACAAGGUUCCUUUAAUAACCGAGACAUCCAGCUGCAGAGUUUAGAUGCAGGGGCUCUUCUCGGUAGAACAAAUACUUCAACUCCAGAAAAUUCAUUGGAUUUAGAGUGGGAGCAUGAGACUUUGCCCGUAUCAUUAGUUCAUGAUCCUUCAGCAAGCUCAUGGGGUACUUCACUCUUUCGCGAAGACACUUUAGCCAGUCAAGCCAAUACCAGUCCAAACCAUAACGAAGGCGUUGGUAACACUAGCGAAUCCGACUGGUCUCGUGUGUCAUCCUCGGCCAAUAGUUUAGAAUGGGACAGCGUUCAAAAUUCGGCGCAGUCUGAUGUCGACACGUUAGAUAUCGAUACGCAGUUUUUAUUGAAUGAAAUUGAUCGUUUGACCAAUCAGGCUCUUAAAGAGACAGGUACUCUUCCCGACAGUGUAAGUUAUUUAGACGACACAGUGUAGUCUAUACUUUAGACGUAAAUUUACGUCAUUACUUUUAUGCCAUCAAACAUUCCACUAACUUAACAGUCUGAGGUUUUUUCUAAUAUCAAUUUUGAAACUUAAAUAUAUUUUAUAGAUUUUUCAAGAUUUGAAAUAUCAUUUUAAAAGGUUGUUUAAAAGGUUGUAUUCGUUUAGUUUUAAUAAGAUGCAUUUAAUCAAGAGUUUUGGUAUAUUUUUAGAAUCAUAAAUGUAUGUAAAAGAUGUUUGUUGCAUAUUAUGACGUAAAUAUUAAAUACAACUAGUUAAGUAUGUAAUUAUUUAAGUUUUUCAAUAUUUUAUAAUAAUCUGUUCAAAAUAGGAUCUUCUAUUUCUAGAGUAGAUUAGAAAUAAAAUAAUUAUUUGUAUAUAAAGAAAGUUAAUUGUUAACUAUCUAAAGACUGUAAGGUUAAUGUAACAUUAAUCAAAAUACAAAUUAUUUUUGAAUAGGUACUUGAUUAAAUAGGGAUUAAUCUGUGAAAUACAUAUUACCAGAAGAUUUCAACAACUAAGCUGAAAAGAAUAGUAAUAUUAUUUUUAAUUAAUAUUAAGAAAUGUCGGACUGAAAUAGUCCAGACUAAAAAACUGUUAUCAACUGGCUACUCAUAAUAUACAAUCAGUUGUUUAAGUAUUAGCAACAUUUCUAAUAGGUUUGCAUUAAAUAACUAUGAAUAAUAAAAUACUAUGUAUAGUUUGUCCAGCGACAGAAAUGAGUUCCACAGACAUUUGAAAAAAAAUCCACAAUCAAUCCACAUUUUCCUUAAAAUGAGACAAAAUCUAAUGUUCCUAUAUUUUCACGGAACAUCUUAAGGUGCGUCCACAUGCUUGUGAUCCUGCUCGCGCCCUUGCUUCUGUGCUUGCGUUACUUGCGCUUCCUGUUUGUCGUGUUUCUCAAGAUCUUUUGGCUCGCAAGCAACGGCGUCCACACUGUAAUGUAGUGCUUGCGUUCGUGCUGUUCGGACAUGGAUGAUGAUGAUGCCGAAGUAUUUUUAAUAGCGGCUGCUAGUGGGAUCAUUAUUGCAAAACGAAGGAGACUAAGAGAAAAAAAGACGGUGUUGGAUGUCUAAUAAUUUCAAAAGUAGAUCCCAGUACAGUGAAAGUAAGCUUCUACACGAUUUACAAACACACAGAAUGUUUUUAAAUAAUUUUUAUCGCAUGUCCGCUACUGAUAUUGAAAGACUUUUUAGUUGGCCCCCGCAUAGAAAGAAAAAUACAACUUUUAGGAAGUGUAUUCCGGUUAAAGAAAGAGUUAAAGAAAGAUUGGCCAUAACAUUAAGAUUCCUUGCAAGACCUUGUGGAGACUCACAUACCAGCUUGGGUUAUUUAUUCAAAGUUUACAAGCAAAGCAUUUCAAAAAUAGUGCCAGGCGUAUGCCAAAAUAUAAAUAAAGUUCUCAAAGAUCAGAUUAAGAUAAGUAGGCAUUAUAAAUAUAGAGUUAUAUUUUAUUAAUAGGUUAGUAAGCGAGGGUUUUAGGGUCCGAAUAAUGAACACCUGCCCCGAUUGACCUGAAAUUUUAGCAGUGAAUAGAUAUGUUAUAUUGGUCCAACAUAUAUAUACAUAUAUAUUAGAAACAAAAGUUACAUAGUACCGAUGGGUGCUUUCACCCUGGGGGUGAGUGCCACUCCUUCUCGGGGUGAAAGAUAAAUCACCAAUUUUAAUUGCAAAAAUCAAUAAAGGUGAAUUCUAAGCAAAAAAUGUUUCAAAAACACAACUAUUUUUAAUUCUGAACAAAAAAAUAAGAAAAAUCAUGGUAGCAUCAUCAUACUGCAGUAAAUACCGAAUCCUAUAAAUGAAACUAAACUAAAAACUAAACAAACGCAAACAGCUCGAGCGCUUCGAACCGCCGCACAUAGGUCAUUUUAUGUAUUUUAGGAAUUAAUAAAUAAAAAAAUUGAAUGUCGAAAAAAAUAUUUUUUUAUAUUUCAUCUUGGAGCUAGGGCCCCAUAGAUAUUAUUUCUGCAAUAUUAUAUUUUAAUAUUAACAAAGGUGGCCAUGGCGAGAAUGACAAUAUCAAAGUUUGUUUGAAUUAUUUCGCGUUGUAAAAUUACUGUCAUUAGUUCAUAAAGUUUCGAAUUUUGUUGUUACGAAUAGAAGGUGAGUUUAAAAAGUAGUGCUGUGUUAUUGUGUACCAUAAGGUACCAUGUCAAUAGAAAAAUCUCUCUUGUUUUCUGCUUGGUGUGAAGGCAAUUCUUUGAAGAACAAAAAUGCAUCUGUUUUGCCAUUUGUUCUGAACACGCUAAAUUUAGGGCAACAUGUUGGCGACGAACAUUAUAAUGAAAUAGUGAAAAUUAUUAAAAAAUGUAAUUAUUAUUAUUAUUACUCUUUGUCUAAAUGUGUGGGAACACGGUCAAAUAAGGAACCAUUUAUCAAAGAAGUUCUUAAUUUACUUCGAGAGCGUACUUUACAGGCAUCAGAGUUUGAUGAAAAUAUUAGUCAGGAUGAUGAUAUCAUCGAUAUUAUGUCUCUAAAAGGGUACCUACAUAGUGAGGCAUCUCGAUGCGAUGUUCGCCGCGAUGCAUCCUACGCGCACUUACUCGUUUGCAGUGCUUAGAACGUGCGCGUAGGAUGCAUCGCGGCGAGCAUCGCAUCUAGAUGCUUCACUAUGUUUGUACCCUUAGUAGUGACGAGGAUAUCGAUAGUGAUUAAAUAAAAAUAUUAUUACAUAAAUUUCUCUAGUAAAAUAGUGUUAUUAUCAUUUUAUUUAUAUUUGUUAAAUGUUUUAGGUUGUUUUUUUCAUUGUUCAAGCUAAUUUUUACUUUCAAUUAACUUUAAAAUUAAAAAUUAAAUUUAGUAAACCUUCUAGAUACUAAUAAAUUCACUUACAAAAAAGUAACGAACUACAGUUUUUGUUUGAGUUCGAUAUAAUAA
rnacentral:misc_RNA from 1 species